rnacentral:rRNA from 1 species
UACGUAGGGGGCAAGCGUUGUCCGGAUUUAUUGGGCGUAAAGAGCGUGUAGGCGGCCAGGUAGGUCUGCUGUGAAAACUCGAGGCUCAACCUCGAGACGUCGGCGGAAACCCUCCAGCUAGAGUCCGGAAGAGGAGAGUGGAAUUCCUGGUGUAGCGGUGAAAUGCGCAGAUAUCAGGAAGAACACCCGUGGCUAAGGCGGCUCUCUAGUACGGUACUGACGCUGAGACGCGAAAGCGUGGGGAGCGAACAGG